rnacentral:tRNA from 1 species
AGGGGCUCAUGUCCCAAGGCUGGUGAGAUGGUCUCCAAAACCAUUUGGAAGAGUUCAAUUCUCUUAGCCCCUGCCA